GACGAACCGUGCAAACGUUGUUCGGAAUCACUGGGCUUAAAGGGCGCGUAGGCGGGUUCGCAAGUCUGUGGUGAAAGCCUCCAGCUUAACUGGAGAAGUGCCGUGGAUACUGCGAAUCUUGAGGAGGGUAGGGGCGUCUGGAACGGUCGGUGGAGCGGUGAAAUGCGUAGAUAUCGUAAGGAAGACCAGUGGCGAAGGCGGGUCUCUGGACAGUUCCUGACGCUCAGGCACGAAGGCCAGGGGAGCAAACGGG
rnacentral:rRNA from 1 species